AUUCAGAAGAGAUCAGUGGUGCUGGAGAGGAGGGGCUGCUAACACGCACAGCACAGAGUCGGCCCCAGCACCACGCUCCGCAGCAUCACCAGACAGGGACAGGAUUCACUUUCAGCAGGGGCAGGGUGUUUAGUUUAAUUCUGGAGACUCUGGGGAGGGUGUAAACAGCAGAGCCUGUGGCAGCUGCUGCUGCUGCUUGCUGCUGCUGCUGCUGCUGGAUUUCUGGUUGGAGAUAUCCUGAUGACAGAGAGUGGACUUGCCCCUAAGGAACCUGACACCCCUAAUGAGCAGGAAGUGGUCUAAAGAGACACGUUCACCCAGAACUGUGGAGUCUGUGUCCAUGGGAAGCCUACAGUCCAGCUCAUGGCAGCUUUCUCAUGCUGGUCAAAACAUGAGACCAGCCCCAGUGACUAUCUGUAACUGGCCCACCAACCCACAGACACCCGCUCAGCAUGAAACUGGACCAACUCCUGACGGGCUACCCAGCACUGAGUCACAGCAGCAUCCUGCUAACCCAAGGGAGCCACAGACUCCAACUACUGAAAAUAUAAGCCAAUCCCUAGAGGUCAGCAGUCAGCCCAGGAAGCCUGGAAGGACAGGCAGUAGGGCAGGAGAGAUGGAGGCAUGGUGGGGCACAGAAGUCUCAGGGGAGGGAAGGGGACAUUUACCAGGGUGGCAGAGGCCCCAAUCCAUGAGGAAGACUUGCAAGGCUGUGAGCAGUGGCCCUUGGUGUCAAGGUCAUUGUAGGAUAGCAAAUUGUGGAGACUUGUUUUUGGUGACCAGGAAUGCCCAAGCUUCGGGCCAGUCCUGACUUUCUCUCUAUUCAUGGUGAAGUUGUGCCAACGAGUUGUACCUUCCUUUGUUUUCCAGGUCUUUGGGGUUGCUACAGUCCCCCAGCGCCUUGGGUCACCCUGCACAUUCCCCUGAGUCUCAUGUGUUCAGGAAGUCGUCCUGGCAUCCGAAGUCUGUGGGGAGUCCGCUCCAGUUCUGCCAGUUUAAUUUUUUAUUUAACAUGAAAUAUUUGGGUUUGGGAUUCAAGGGUAACACUGAGGCAGAUAGUUCUUUUGGGGUAGGAAGUUGUUAGUGCCAUGGUCAUAUAGAAAAACAAACAAUGGCACGGAGCAGACCCUAACGAAAGUUCAGACCCAAGAAGCAGGCAGGGGGUGGGGGUGGGGGUGAGGAGUCCUUUUUAGGUCUCAGAGGAAAGGGGAAGGUUCUAAGACACAAGCCUGUAGCUAGCUGCCCCUGAUUCCUGGGCAGCAGGGAGGAGGGAAUCCCUGGGAAGGAGUGAAAAGGUGGAAGGGAUAUCUGGUGGAGAUGUAGACGGGUGACAGGGGGAUGUGCUGCCCUUUGAUAACCAGAGUCUGGCUGCCUGGUCUGUGGGCUUCUCUUCUCUCUCUCUCUCCCUCCCUCCCUCCCUCCCUCCCCCCCAGCUCUCCUCUCCUCCUCCUCUCCCCCUCUCCCCCUCUCCCCUUUUCCCCUUCCCUGUAGCAAUAGGAAUCCCAGAAUUGACUGAGGAUGGAGGCAGAGAGGGCUGCCCAUGUAGAUAGCUUGAGCAGCCUCUGGUCUGAUGUUCUAACAUAAGCCACGUGUACUAAGCCACUGUGAUUAAAUGCUAUCUUCGAUGGUGACAUCGAUGACCCUGAGACACUUUCACCUGCUCUGCAGUAGUGGGAGGCUGUAGUCUUGAAGGCGUGGUACCUGGUAUAGAAUACAGAGCAGGUUCCAGGAACUACAUACAGGAGAACAUCUGCCACAUGUAAACAGAGAGACCAUGAUGUUUGUGACAUCCCUGUACUGUCAUGGGUUUGGGGUCAUUGAUACCCAUCCGAAAUUAUGCUUAUAAACAGACAAAAACAAAGGUGCUGGCUUUUCCAUCUAAAUACACAGCUUCCCAGCAAAAGUCUUCCUUGGGGGCAUCAGGCUGCCAACUCCUGACAGCCUCGUCCUGGGCAUAACUGCCUGGAGAAGUGGGGCAGCCUCUUAGGAUGACCUCAGAUCUGAGGAGUGACAUCUGCCCAGCAUGUGUCCUUGCACCUGAGGUAGGAACAAGACAAAAACCUCAGUGCAAAAGUAAAAAUAGCAGACCACAGCAAUCCAGGGCACCCUGCGGGCACCGUGCGGGCUAUAAUUAUAGAAGUGGAGGAGGCGGUUCCUUCUGAAGCCUACUGGAGGGCCAGGGGGAGUAGGCUGGUGUGUGGGGGUGAUGAUGCAGAGGAGGGGAGGCCUGGCCUCAGAAUCUCCUGACUCCAAAGUGCCCAAGAGACAGGCUAGCAGAAGGCCACAGGAAGAAUGGACAGCAAGAACACAGGCUACAGCAAUUCUGCAAAGUGCUUAAGAACACUCGUCCUCUGACCCGCAAGGCACUGUCCAAGGUACAAAACCUGGGCUGUGUAAGGGAACAAAAUUGCAUUGGAUUUUUGGUAAAAAUAGCAAGAGUAAUUUUGUUCAGGCUCCGGCAGCAGGAGAGUGUGGUGUGGGCCUGAGAUCCACUCAAAUGCAGGAAAGUAGCAGGUGCCCAGAGUGAGAGCAGAGUGGGGGAGGGGAAGCUACCGAGGAAGGAGACCAAGGCAAUUCUCUUGCUAGCCUGCCCCUGCUAAAGGUGAGCUACUGUUUGGGAUGACUUGGGAUAGAUGUCAAAGACUGGCUGGAACCAGAAACCAAGGGUGGAGGAGUCACAGCAGGGCAUGAUCGUGAAUGGCCAAGGUGCGAGUCUAGCUCAGAAAAUAGCUCAAGUAGCUCGUUGGAGCCUGACUGGGUUAAGCCUUUCUAGGGUCACCUCCACCAUGGCCUGGCCCAGGGAUGAGGUAUUCUGCAACUACAGAUGAGGGAGCUAAUGGAAGGGGCAAGAAGCCUCUGCCAAGAUCCUGUCCCUAUGCAGUGCUGGUCCCUGGCUCUGCACCUGAGUCCUGGGUGAGCUUGGGUACCUUACUUUCUGUCUUAGUUACUUUUCUCACUGCUUUGAUGAGUCAGCCAAUAAGAACAACUUAAGAAAGGAACGGUUCAUUUUGGCUCAUCAUUUGAGGUUCAUCCGAGACAGUGGAGGUGUCCAAGUGUGGUCUGUUGCUAUGAAUUGCAAUGCUAAAUACUGGCCUCCAAGGUCUACUUACCACCAGUGGUGAGAAAAAUCACAUACACCAAAUGAUGCUACGUAACCUUGCUCUGUAAUUUAAAACUAUCGGUUGAAUAAAGAUGCCUACAACC
rnacentral:lncRNA from 1 species